rnacentral:lncRNA from 1 species
CAGGAAUAGAGACAGAAUUAAAUUUUUUAGUAGUUGUACGAAGAAAGAUGAAGAAUGAAAGAACCAAAUCCUCACCACUCUUUCUGAAAAGUUUUGAUUCUGUCUCUGAGCCUUCAUCCUGCCAGCUUGUGACCAUUUGGAGGACUCAUCACUUCUACAGGUGUCAAAGUGGCACUCUUCUACUUCCAUGUCUCUCUGGGGACUUCAGAACAUUUGCAAGCUGAAAACAUCAGGUCAGUGGUUGUGUCUCUGUAGAUAAACCUUGAAUAUAUUUGUCUCUGGGACAUUGCCAGGUGGCAGGCGUUUACUAUCCAAUAUUCCCACUGCCUGAGUUUCCAGCAACCCGAAGAUGACUUCCUCUUUCAGGAAAAGCAGCAAGAGCUUUGCUUCAGUUUCUUCAAAUUGGUGAUGAAACAUAUAAAUAUUCUAUCAUAAUAAAAGGGCAAAGAAAGG